rnacentral:rRNA from 1 species
UACGGGGGAUGCAAGCGUUAUCCGGAAUUAUUGGGCGUAAAGCGUCCGUAGGUGGUUUUAUAAGUCUGUUGUUAAAGCGCGAGGCUUAACCUCGUAUAGGCAGUGGAAACUAUAAAUCUAGAGUGAGGGAGGGGAAGAGGGAAUUUCCAGUGUAGCGGUGAAAUGCGUAGAUAUUGGAAAGAACACCGGUGGCGAAGGCGCUCUACUGGGCCUGAACUGACGCUGAGGGACGAAAGCUAGGGGAGCAAAAAGG